ensembl:miRNA MIR320D1 microRNA 320d-1
UUCUCGUCCCAGUUCUUCCCAAAGUUGAGAAAAGCUGGGUUGAGAGGA